UAGAAUCUAAAAAAAAAAAUUAAAGUUCUCAAACAUUUAUUUGCCAAUAACCAUCCUUAAAGCUUUGCUCAUUCACAAAAAAUAAUAUUCUUUACAUAAAUUGCAAACAAGUUUUGUUUUUUGACUAGAGACCCAACUUUAAAUUAUACCACUAAAAUAUUUUAAUAUUUAAUUAUUCAGAAAUAACAAGUUAAUGUUCUUAAAACAAUAACCAUCCUUAAAUCUUUGCUCAUUCAAAAAAAUAAUAUUCUUUACAUAAAUUGGAAACAAGUUUUGUUUUUUGACUAGAGACCCAAGUUUAAAUUAUACCACUAAAAUAUUUUAAUAUUUAAUUGUUCAGAAAUAUAUAUAUUUAUAUAUUCGAGAGUAGACAAUGCAUAGAUGAUACUAAAUUGAUCGCAAGAAUUCUUUUUGGAAAACACAAUAUAACUAGUAUGGUAUACAAAGAACUUUUAAAAAAUUUAUGAAAAUGUUUAAGCCCGCAUCGCGGACAAAACACCUAGUUCUUAAUAUACUGAUUAAUUUAUUAUAUAAAUAACUCUAGGGUGAUUUUGCUGUAUAACCAUAUUGAGAAAAAAUAAAGAAUAUAGCUAUGUGUUGAAAAAUGUGUCAAUUUGCCAUAUUAUUGGACAUUAUAGUCCUUUACGAGCGCGUGAAUGUGUGUAUAUCACACACUACAACCAAUACUAUUCUAUUUAUGUUGUCAAUAUAGAAUGGAUUAUUUCGAACAUAAAUAUAACAAUAGAGAAUAAUAUAAUUUUUUUAAUACUAUUUAUUUAUAGGGUUCAAUGCAAUUUAAUCAGUGGACAAUAUGAACAAGCAUAUUUAUUCGUAGGACAAGUGUUUAAUGUAAAAUAAAUUAUGUGAAAUAACAUAAUUAGUUGAUAUAUUACAAAAUAAAAUAUACCAUUCUAUAUUUGAUGACCAUAUAGUAUAUCAUGUAGAUAUAUGUAUAUGAAAAAAAAUAUUGAGAGUAAGGGGGAAAGGAAGAAAAGCGAAGACGGGGAUGAUAAAAAUGAAAAAAGAGUUUACGGACGAAGCUGAAAAGAUGCAUAAUGUCUAAUAAAUAGAAGAGUAUAAAGAACAUGAUGGGAUGAUAAAAAAAGAAGAGGAAAGAAGUACAAAGAGGAAAAUGGAGAGAGAGAGAGAGAGGAAAGUAAGAGGAGAGAAGAGGCGGGGGAGGGAAAGAAGUGAAGAGAGAGAGAGAAUCUGGGAGAGGAAAAAGAGGAGAAAAAAAAGUGUAAUUUCUAUUCUAUUUUAUAUUUUAUAAAUAGAAUACAACAAUAUAAUAUUUGAACAUUAUAUAUUAGAGAAAGAGAGGGGAAAAAAGAAGUGAAAGAGAGAGGGAGAAGGAAAAGAAAGAGUGAUAUGUGGAUGGAGAUUGGAGAGGGAGAUUGAUAGAGAUUGAGGAAAGAUGAAUUUUAUUGCUACUAUUCUAUAUAACUUUAUGUAAUAGAAUAGAACAAAACUUUAUUAUUAUUGCAUAUAUUCAAUUUUAUAAAUAUAUGUUAGUUUUACAAAAUUCAAAACAUGUCAUAUACGAAAAAAAAUCUAUGUUUUUUAUAAGUAUAUAAGAAAUUCAAAUUAUAAUUUUUCUAACUUAUAAAGUUAAUUAAAAAGAGAGGUGAAAAUGAGAAAGGGUAAUAUGGCAAAUAAUAUAUAAAUAUCAUAGCCUAUUUUUUGUUAUGGUUAUACACUUAAUUUUUAUUCCACUAUGGACAUGAUACCCAAUUUCCCAUAACUCUAUCAGGGCAGAACAUUAGACCAUCAACAUCCUUGGAUCCUUAAAAGGGGUCUUUAGCAAAAAAAUUUUAUUAAAAUUAUGGGGUCCCAGCAAAAACUAAAUAACCGGUAACAAAAACUACAAAAUAAGGACCGAUUUACGUUGGAUCUUUGCACUGUUCGUGGGCUUCACCGACGCAUGGCGGCCCGCGAUUGGUUCCCUUUAAAUUUUUUUUUUCAGAUGGAAAAAGAAAAAAAAAUUUCCUAAGAAACCUAUCAGGGAUAAUCAUGCCCUUAGGACUCUUGUCAAGGAUGGUUUAAUUAUCAGGAAACUCUCCAAGAUCCACUCACGUGCUCAUGCAAGGACUUUGAACGAGGCCAAACGAAAGGGUCGUCACUCUGGUUCUGGUAAGAGAAAGGGCACAAGAGAGGCGAGGCAACCGACCAAGUUUCUCUGGAUGAAUAGAAUGAGGGUGUUGAGGCGUUUCCUUCUCAACUACCGUGAGAAAAACAAGAUCGACAAGCACAUGUACCAUGAAAUGUACAUGAAAGUGAAGGGUGGGGUGUUUAAGAACAAGUGUGUGCUUAUGGAGAGCAUCCACAAGUACACGGUUGAGAAGGCGAGAGAGAAGACACUCUCUGACCAGUUUGAGACCAAACGUGUUAAGAACAAGGCUAGCAGGGAGAGAAAGUUGGCGAGAAAGUUGGCGAGAAGGGAGAAACGUUUAGCUAGAGGAGCCGGAGGUGGAGAGAUAGCUGUUGUGUCUUAAGUUUACUUCUUCAAUAAGAUAUUGUUUUCUUUUA